GCAACCUCCCCAACUCCUCCAACCUAAAGUAUCAAAAAUAUUUUCUAUCCUUAGUAUUUUGUUAAAACAAUCAACCCACCAAACCCGCAAGGACAACAAGUUUACGCACAUCACAGAAUAGUUUAUCACUCGUCCCUUUUGCAUCAUGGAAGAGCAACAUAAAAACAUACAUUUGACUUCCCGAAAAACUAUGAGCUACUAGUACAUAAACCUUAAUGUAACACAAUUAAGAUACUAAUUACUUGUAGGAGCAACAAACCUUCCAUAUAGUUAGAUAGCUGGCUUUCUUCCAAAGGCAUCAAAGUGCCUUCCUGUACAAAAAAUAAUAUUACUUACAAGUACAGGAAAAAGACUUUUGAGGAUUAGCUCAAAAGUCACACACAAAUUACAGCACACCUUAAAAUUAAUAGUAGGCCUAAAAUCAGCCACCUAAUAACGUUCCAGUAAUAUAAAUUCAUAACUUCAACAUUUAAUUACCACAAUUUCAUAAACAGAAGAACCUAGUGUAUAACCAUAUCACUAAAGAACCGGCAUCUUAUUAGUAUUUAUUAAAACUCCCUUUCUAAACUUUAAAUUAAAAAUCAAAACACAAUAUUAUAUCAUAAACAUAUAAAGUGAACUCGACAAAUAAUUUCCUUGCCUGUUUACCAAAAACAUCGUCUUUUGUCUUCUUAUUUUAUAAAAGAUAAUGCCUGCCCAGUGAACUUCUUAAACGGCCGCGUUAGCGUGAGCGUGCUAAGGUAGCGUAAUAAUUAGCCUCUUAAUUGGAGGCCAGUGAAAGGCAACACGAGGAAUACCUAUACUUUAUAUGACAAAAGAACUUUCUUUCUAAGUGAAAAAUCUUAGAUAAUAAUGGAAGACGAAAAGACCCCGCGGAACUUUACCUUUUCUACUAAGAUUAUUUAUUUGUAUAUUAAAGUAAACUUAACAAGGUUUGAUUGGGGCAAUCUCGGAACCAUCUAAACUUCCGACUUUUCAUAAAUAAACAUCAAAAAUUUGUUCUAGACUAAAAAGAAGUUACCCCGGGGAUAACAGCGUUAUCCAACUUGAGAGUACACAUCGAAAGUUGGGUUUGCGACCUCGAUGUUGGCUUAAGGACAUCCACAUUAGUGCAGCCGCUAUGAAUGGAUAGUCUGUUCGACUAUUAUAACCUUACACGAGCUGAGUUAAAACCGGCGUAAGCUAGGUUGGUUUCUAUCUCCCUCUAUUACUCCCUUCUUGAUUGUACGAAAGGACCUCAAGAGGCGUAUAUCAUAAACAACGUUCUAAUAAAUACACUUCUCAUUACCUAAAUUAUUCACUAUUCCUC
rnacentral:rRNA from 1 species